GAAAUACUAAUGUUGGUGAUAUACAACAAAAUCAGUCUCUGUUGUGCCAAGUAAUGAAACCACAGCGUGAAUGCCUGGUUCAGAAUAAGCUGAAAGGUCUGACUUGAUGAUUUUGCCUUAUUAGUUUUACUUUUUGUUUUUUACCCUUCCCAGCUCAUGCUGGGAAUGGAAAUGGUUGCCUUGUAGAUUAAGGCAAAACAUCUGAUUUAAGCAGAGCUGCGUCUUUUGGCUCACACAUUGUCUCCGACAGUGGAAAUGGUAAGACAGAAUUCAGAUAAAGGUUCUGCCAAGUUGCAGGCUUUUAGACAUUGGGGAUACAAGAAUUACGAUAAAGGAUAGUCUCAAUGAAAAGCCUUGAUCCUGAGAGUAAAAGGCUUGUGGGGCUAAGUUAGAUGGUGUCCUUUGGACGGGAGACCAGAGGUAAGUCCAGGGUUCCAGGGAACCAAGAAGCCUGCAGUUAGUUGAAAGUAGGGGUCUAGUUGUUUAUCUUAACUCACCAACACCCUCCAGAAGGGACUUAGCAUCUGAGAUGGUCAGCUUUGCUAGGAGAGUGGUCAGGGAGAUGAAAGCCCAGUUAAGGUGUGUUCUUCUCUCAGAGGUUGGCUCCAAGCCAAAGGGACCACCUGCAUGGACCCAGCCCAGCCACACAGGGGGCAGAAGGUCCUCUAGAGGUCCGCGUCCUGGGCCUUUGAGGCACACUCUUCUCCAGAAAGAAUCAGAAGUCAUUCGGGUCCAGGUCCAGGUGUUCAUGUGCAUGACCAAGCCAGGUAAUAGUAUUUUGAGCCAAAAAUAAGAAGGGGCCAUAAAGUUAUGAGACAGUUUUUGGUUGACACAUUAGCAAUAAUUGAAGAUAGUCCCAGAUCAGAAGAUCAGAAAAAUGUCUUUAGCAAUGGUGACAUGUGUGUUUGUUUGUCAAAGUUGGGUCUUGCUACUUCGUAGCCACAAGUGUCUUUUUUUAAUUUUUUACCCCUAGUCUCAGAUUCCCCCUCUUAAGCACAAAUAAAGAGGAAACUAUCCCUCCAAACUUGGGGUUGUGUGAUUUUCAGAAGUUUUCCUUUUUUCAGAGUUGAGCAUCUUUUCCUUUAAAAGAAGCAAAGGAAGAAAAAAAGCUGUUUUAUUCCUGGAGAAGAAAUGGCACACCCUCCUCCCCAAAGAGAGAAAACCUGCAGUCCCCAACCACCUCAACACUAAUUUGGCUCUCUUAAGGAGAGAAGAAUUACUCUUGUGUCUUUAUUGGAGAGAGGUGGACAAUGCCAAGGUGGAGGUUCUUAGGUUUUUCUGUUUUAUUUUGGUGAAGACUACUGCUCUUAUUUAACAGAUGUUAUGCCUUCAGGGGGCACCAGUGGAGCAGGCCAGGUGUAAUGAUAAAUAAGGUGUGAAGAUAAAUGGCAAUGGUAUGCCUUCUCAGUGUCAGGGAGCAGUAGGGCAUGGUGGGGACUGUGGCAAACUGAAGCGCUCCUGUCCCACCUAUAGAGGGCAGCCAUUCCAGCCAGUUGUGGCCAUGCAGUGUUUCCUGAUGUUCCCAUUUUUCAAGGGAAGCUGAGAAUCUGGAGUUUUAUGUGCAAAAUUCUGAUUUUUUUUUAGUAUUAGUAACUAAAUUUUUUUAAAUGUCUAUUACAGAAAAAUUGUUUACAACAGAACACAUGGGUGGACCUGAUUUGGUUCACCAGCUGCCGGUUUGCCAUCUCUGCUUUAUAAUAUUUGAAAUAAAAGGCAUCCACGCUAAUGACCAAAUGCAGCCAGUGGUGGGAUUGCUUCUUUCCCUCUUGCUCCCCGAAAGAAAUUUGAUAUGAUUCUGAAUGUAUUUGAAAUGUUUUGAUUGCUUCUACAUUUAAUGGGGUCUUAAGAGAAAGGCAAGCCAGUUUUUAAUUUUAAAACCAGAUUUAUGUUCUCUCAAUUUAAAAAAUAGGACACUUGGAACAAUUUGAUUUAAACUCCGCAACCUGAAGGACACUGUGUAUGGUUUCAGCUCCUGGCGUCGUCACUGUUUCAGAUGAUGUGCAGUGUUCUGAGCUCAGGCCUGGACUUAAUAAGGAAAGCAGGCAUUGUGGGGAGGAUGGCAAGGCUGCCCGAGUGUCCACUCGAGCUGGGUAUUUGCCUUGUCUUGUGUUUUAAACGAUCUGUGAAUCGACUCUGUUCUGGAGGUGUGAAACGUGCACGGAGAAAAGCUCUUCUCGAUAUCGAAGUAUCAGAUAGGAGUCCACAUGGGGUGUCAGGUCAUCCUUGCUGUAUCACCACCUUUCCAGGCUCAGGGUGAAAAUAAACAAAAGGAAGUCUGCCUGUAAGCCAAUAGCUUUGAUUCCAAUUUCAGAGUUUUGGGGGUGGGAGAAAGUUUGGAUUAUCUGGCGUGUUCGCCUCAGUGUCAGACAGGGCCGCGCCUGAAUUAUUUCAGACAUCUGGCUGUGGGUGGGAUUCUGGAUUUUCAGCGAAGGAGAUUCUGUAACCUGCCCUGCUGAUCAGAUAGUUCUUUGUAUGUCUUCCUUAUACAAAUUCAAACCAGGCUUCUUUUGUUCAGUGUGUGGUGGAAAAAGAACAGCUGGUCACCUUCCUUGUAUUUGAAAACCACAGUGAAGUCAUCCCACUGGUGUUCUUAUUUCAGUGAUAAAUAACCCCACCUACUUCAACCAUGCUUCAUAGCUCUCGUUUUCCAAGGGCUUAAUAAUUUUCACUGCUGUUCUGUUUCUCAGCUUCAAACUCAGUUGAGUCGCCCAAAUAGAAUGUAGUGCCUUAUUCACAUGAGUGCCUUGUGAAGGCCAAGCUCAGGAUGGGGAUUACAGGGAAAUUCUUAUGUGCCCAGCUUCUUUUACUACUUAAAAAUAUAAUGGCACUUUUAUAAAAUGGUAUAUCCCCUGUAUUCAUUUUGAGGAUUAUUUGUCACGCAUUUGGGGUUUUUUUCUUGGCAGUAGUCUUCUAUCAGAUGUGUCGUUUUCCCCUCUUUUGGUCAAAUACUUGGUGCUUAUUCCUGAUGUGUUUAAUGACAUUCCUGAGCUUCUUCAAGAUACUCUUCAAGACCAGCUUUUACCUUCUGAGUGACAGCUACCCCUCCCUCCCAGUUUUGGAUUCUAUUUUUAUAUAUGUCUAGACAUCAGCCUUAAUUCAUGAUGCACAAUAUUGUUAAAUGGUGCAGAUUUCAGUUUAACCACUGUCGAGAUAGAUAGCAGUUGCUAAGGACUAAUUUGUAAAGAGACUGAGUGAGGACCUCUUGGGAAUUUUGAUCAGUCGUCUUCCCUCCUGAACUUUGGUUCCUCUCCAAAAUUCAUCUGGGACCACAGACUCCUCAAGGAGCUUUCCAUGUUCUGAAGGGCUGGAGUCAUGUCUCUGAAUUGACCAAGCACUGUGUGUUGCGCAGUUGGGAGUCUGACAAAAGCAAACCGUUAUGACUGCAUAUGGUACGUUUAUAUCAAAUAAAAUUCCGGUCAAGAAGAUUCGAAGACGCGAUCUUCUAUUUGUACGUAACGUAGACAAAGUUGGCUGCUCCAUUUGUUACAUAAAAUAAUUACCAUUGGAUUAUGCUAAUGUGUAAUCGUCUGUUACUUUUAAAAGUUUUUUUCUGUCUCAAGGAAAAACCGUAGUGAGUCUGGACAGAGCAAAAACUUUUGUAAAAACCAAAUGUGUUCAUUUAGAGAGUAGAUAACUUCUAUUUUCACCAUUAGGUUUUCCUUUUUUUUUUCACUACAGAAGCUCCCUGUCACUACGUUCUAGGGGGGAAAGCCUGUGGAACACGGUGGUGGUUGCCGCUGUUUCCUCUUUAGGUUUGUCCUUUGUGGGGUCUGGUGGAAGAGUGAGCACUGACAGACUGUAGCAGGGUUCUGUAUUUG
rnacentral:lncRNA from 1 species